rnacentral:rRNA from 1 species
UAGGGAAUUUUCGUCAAUGGGCGCAAGCCUGAACGAGCAAUGCCGCGUGAACGAGGAAGGUCUUCGGAUCGUAAAGUUCUGUUGAAGGGGAAAAAGAGCGGAGAGAGGAAAUGCUUUCUGAUUGAUAUUACCCUUCGAGGAAGUCACGGCUAACUACGUCGCC